GAUGAACGCUGGCGGCGUGCCUAAUACAUGCAAGUCGAGCGAACAGACGAGGAGCUUGCUCCUCUGACGUUUGCGGCGGACGGGUGAGUAACACGUGGAUACCCUACCUAUCAGACUGGGAUAACUUCGGGAAACCGGAGCUAAUACCGGAUAAUAUCUUGAACCGCAUGGUUCAAUAGUGAAAGACGGUUUUGCUGUCACUUAUAGAUGGAUCCGCGCCGCAUUAGCUAGUUGGUAAGGUAACGGCUUACCAAGGCAACGAUGCGUAGCCGACCUGAGAGGGUGAUCGGCCACACUGGAACUGAGACACGGUCCAGACUCCUACGGGAGGCAGCAGUAGGGAAUCUUACGCAAUGGGCGAAAGCCUGACGGAGCAACGCCGCGUGAGUGAUGAAGGUCUUCGGAUCGUAAAACUCUGUUAUUAGGGAAGAACAAAUGUGUAAGUAACUAUGCACGUCUUGACGGUACCUAAUCAGAAAGCCACGGCUAACUACGUG
rnacentral:rRNA from 1 species